UACGGAGGGUGCAAGCGUUUAUCCGGAUUCACUGGGUUUAAAGGGUGUGUAGGCGGGCUGUUAAGUCAGUGGUGAAAUCUCCAGGCUCAACCUGGAAACUGCCAUUGAUACUAUCAGUCUUGAAUAUCGUUGAGGUGGGCAGAAUAUGUCAUGUAGCGGUGAAAUGCAUAGAUAUGACAUAGAAUACCGAUUGCGAAGGCAGCUCACUAAGCGUGUAUUGACGCUGAGGCACGAAAAGCGUGGGGGAUCAA
rnacentral:rRNA from 1 species